rnacentral:rRNA from 1 species
GGGUUGUGAGGUUAAGCGACUAAGCGUACACGGUGGAUGCCCUGGCAGUCAGAGGCGAUGAAGGACGUGCUAAUCUGCGAUAAGCGUCGGUAAGGUGAUAUGAACCGUUAUAGCCGGCGAUUUCCGAAUGGGGAAACCCAGUGUGAUUCGUCACACUAUCGUUAACUGAAUACAUAGGUUAACGAAGCGAACCGGGGGAACUGAAACAUCUAAGUACCCCGAGGAAAAGAAAUCAACCGAGAUUCCCCCAGUAGCGGCGAGCGAACGGGGAGCAGCCCAGAGUCUGAAUCAGCUUGUGUGUUAGUGGAACGGUCUGGAAAGUCCGACGGUACAGGGUGAUAGUCCCGUACACCAAAAUGCACAGGUUGUGAACUCGAAGAGUAGGGCGGGACACGUGGUAUCCUGUCUGAAUAUGGGGGGACCAUCCUCCAAGGCUAAAUACUCCUGACUGACCGAUAGUGAACCAGUACCGUGAGGGAAAGGCGAAAAGAACCCCGGCGAGGGGAGUGAAAAAGAACCUGAAACCGUGUACGUACAAGCAGUGGGAGCCUCUUUAUGGGGUGACUGCGUACCUUUUGUAUAAUGGGUCAGCGACUUAUAUUCUGUAGCAAGGUUAACCGUAUAGGGGAGCCGAAGGGAAACCGAGUCUUAACUGGGCGUUAAGUUGCAGGGUAUAGACCCGAAACCCGGUGAUCUAGCCAUGGGCAGGUUGAAGGUUGGGUAACACUAACUGGAGGACCGAACCGACUAAUGUUGAAAAAUUAGCGGAUGACUUGUGGCUGGGGGUGAAAGGCCAAUCAAACCGGGAGAUAGCUGGUUCUCCCCGAAAGCUAUUUAGGUAGCGCCUCGUGAACUCAUCUUCGGGGGUAGAGCACUGUUUCGGCUAGGGGGUCAUCCCGACUUACCAACCCGAUGCAAACUGCGAAUACCGAAGAAUGUUAUCACGGGAGACACACGGCGGGUGCUAACGUCCGUCGUGAAGAGGGAAACAACCCAGACCGCCAGCUAAGGUCCCAAAGUCAUGGUUAAGUGGGAAACGAUGUGGGAAGGCACAGACAGCCAGGAUGUUGGCUUAGAAGCAGCCAUCAUUUAAAGAAAGCGUAAUAGCUCACUGGUCGAGUCGGCCUGCGCGGAAGAUGUAACGGGGCUAAACCAUGCACCGAAGCUGCGGCAGCGACACUAUGUGUUGUUGGGUAGGGGAGCGUUCUGUAAGCCGUUGAAGGUGUAUCGUGAGGUAUGCUGGAGGUAUCAGAAGUGCGAAUGCUGACAUAAGUAACGAUAAUGCGGGUGAAAAACCCGCACGCCGGAAGACCAAGGGUUCCUGUCCAACGUUAAUCGGGGCAGGGUGAGUCGACCCCUAAGGCGAGGCCGAAAGGCGUAGUCGAUGGGAAACAGGUUAAUAUUCCUGUACUUGGUGUUACUGCGAAGGGGGGACGGAGAAGGCUAUGUUAGCCGGGCGACGGUUGUCCCGGUUUAAGCAUGUAGGCGGAGGUUCCAGGUAAAUCCGGUACCUUUUAACGCUGAGGUGUGAUGACGAGGCACUACGGUGCUGAAGUAACAAAUGCCCUGCUUCCAGGAAAAGCCUCUAAGCAUCAGGUAACACGAAAUCGUACCCCAAACCGACACAGGUGGUCAGGUAGAGAAUACCAAGGCGCUUGAGAGAACUCGGGUGAAGGAACUAGGCAAAAUGGUGCCGUAACUUCGGGAGAAGGCACGCUGAUAUGUAGGUGAAGCGGUUUACCCGUGGAGCUGAAAUCAGUCGAAGAUACCAGCUGGCUGCAACUGUUUAUUAAAAACACAGCACUGUGCAAACACGAAAGUGGACGUAUACGGUGUGACGCCUGCCCGGUGCCGGAAGGUUAAUUGAUGGGGUUAUCCGUAAGGAGAAGCUCUUGAUCGAAGCCCCGGUAAACGGCGGCCGUAACUAUAACGGUCCUAAGGUAGCGAAAUUCCUUGUCGGGUAAGUUCCGACCUGCACGAAUGGCGUAAUGAUGGCCAGGCUGUCUCCACCCGAGACUCAGUGAAAUUGAACUCGCUGUGAAGAUGCAGUGUACCCGCGGCAAGACGGAAAGACCCCGUGAACCUUUACUAUAGCUUGACACUGAACACUGGUCCUUGAUGUGUAGGAUAGGUGGGAGGCUUUGAAGUGUGGACGCCAGUCUGCAUGGAGCCAUCCUUGAAAUACCACCCUUUAAUGGCUGGUGUUCUAACGUGGACCCGUGAUCCGGGUUGCGGACAGUGUCUGGUGGGUAGUUUGACUGGGGCGGUCUCCUCCUAAAGAGUAACGGAGGAGCACGAAGGUUAGCUAAUCCUGGUCGGACAUCAGGAGGUUAGUGCAAAGGCAUAAGCUAGCUUGACUGCGAGAGUGACGGCUCGAGCAGGUGCGAAAGCAGGUCUUAGUGAUCCGGUGGUUCUGAAUGGAAGGGCCAUCGCUCAACGGAUAAAAGGUACUCCGGGGAUAACAGGCUGAUACCGCCCAAGAGUUCAUAUCGACGGCGGUGUUUGGCACCUCGAUGUCGGCUCAUCACAUCCUGGGGCUGAAGUAGGUCCCAAGGGUAUGGCUGUUCGCCAUUUAAAGUGGUACGCGAGCUGGGUUUAGAACGUCGUGAGACAGUUCGGUCCCUAUCUGCCGUGGGCGCUGGAGAAUUGAGGGGGGCUGCUCCUAGUACGAGAGGACCGGAGUGGACGCAUCACUGGUGUUCGGGUUGUCAUGCCAAUGGCAUUGCCCGGUAGCUAAAUGCGGAAGAGAUAAGUGCUGAAAGCAUCUAAGCACGAAACUUGCCCCGAGAUGAGUUCUCCCUGACUCCUUGAGAGUCCUGAAGGAACGUUAAAGACGAUGACGUUGAUAGGUCGGGUGUGUAAGCGUAGCGAUACGUUGAGCUAACCGAUACUAAUGAACCGUGAGGCUUAACCUUACAACGCCGAAG